rnacentral:rRNA from 1 species
CCCUUAGAUGUCCUGGGCCGCACGCGCGCUACACUGAGUGUCUGAGAUACGAGUCUGCCUGGUCCGGCAAGGUCUAGGUAAUCACUAAAAGACACAUCAUGCUUGGGAUAGAUUAUUGCAAAUAUUAAUCUUGAACGAGGAAUUCCUAGUAAGCGCAAGUCAACAGCUUGCGUUGAUUACGUCCCUGCCCUUUGUACACACCGCCCGUCGCUACUACUGAUUGGAUGUUUAAGCGAGGUUCUCGAACUGCUAGCGACUUAGCUUCGGUGAGGUCGCAGUGUGGGAAGUGAACCUAGCUUUGGUGUCUAGAGGAAGUAAAAGUCGUAACA